ensembl:lncRNA
AUGACCAGUGACUUUCCUUCCGUUACUGCAGAGUCCUUCCUUCAAGAGCUUAAAAGCUCACUGUUUGAGGAAAUACAUGAGGAUGAAACGGUACUUCAAGCCUCAACAGACUGGUCGACCCGAAAGAGCCUCAUAUCAGGGUGGUGGGAGAAAGAGAGACCCCGACUGGUCAACACCAUGGUGGCUGGACAACAUGCGGCAACUCGGAUCUGCCAACAUUGUGGAAAUGGUCCAGCCGUAAUCCGUUGUUGUGACUGCCGACCACACCCAUUCCUCUGUGGCCAGUGUGAUGUCAGGGUCCACCGAGGUCAAGUGUUCCACAACAGGGAUUCGAUGACACAUGCAUUCUUUCAUCCAUUGCCUCCCACAACUUGUGUUGUGGAGAGGGUUCUAACCCAGUGUGAGCGUCUUGUACCUUUGGAGAUGCCAGAGACAAUAUGCGGUUGUCUACGAGUAUCGUCCCAGUGUCAUCGCAGGACAGUCCAUAGUUGUGGUUACAAUGAAUGGGCGAUAUGAUCUCAGAUUGCCUCAGAUUAGAUGCAAAGCAUGUGAAGCCACUUGGAGUCCUGGAGUGGAUGACCUGAUCCGUAAUGACUACUGGCCUGCCACUUCUCACUAUUCAACUGUGUAUGCAACAGAUGUCCUUUUUUUCUUUUUGAAGAGCUGAAGAUGGCAGCACCAGGGAUGUCUAGCCAAGCAUUUCUUAGAAUGCUGGAUCAACGCACUGUUCGAUUUGGCCGUGUAAGUAUUUGUGGUAAUAAUUGCGUAACUCCAUAAAUAAUACUAUGAGGGCAUGAUGAUGAUGAUAGUACACAUGAACAUUUGCACUGUUUAGGAAAAAAGUUGUGUUCAAUUUAGACCCUUUAUAAACAACCAUAAACUCAUGUUCUCUCAUCAGCAGUUUGCACUGAGACAUUUCCACAGGUAAUUCUGAAGAUCUCAACUUCUACUCCAUUGGCUACAGACUUUGACAUCUUCUCCCCAAUAUCAUUUCCUGAUCCCAGAAGUGUUCCCUUGGAUUAAUGGCCCAAACACUGCACAGGCUUACUUCUAAACAAUAUUGUAGCUGUUGUAGCCCUCUUUGUGUAAAGAUUUAAACUGAAUGUCAAACAAUAUCCUGUAUUUUUAAUGGCCAGGUCCCCCAAAUACACCAGUGUAUAGUGUAUGAGUGAAGUCUACACAUUGUUUAUUUCCUUUGAUAUGUAUUCUAAGGAGUGGUUACGAAGUUAGUACAAACAUCCCAUAUGUAUCCAUUUAGAACAUUUUACUUCAGUGUAGUAUAUUGUUUAAUUUGAUCCGUUUUACUGUUCUCUUUUGUUCUCUUUUAC